UAGGGAAUCUUCCACAAUGGACGAAAGUCUGAUGGAGCAACGCCGCGUGAGUGAAGAAGGUCUUCGGAUCGUAAAGCUCUGUUGUUGGUGAAGAAGGAUAGAGGCAGUAACUGGUCUUUAUUUGACGGUAAUCAACCAGAAAGUCACGGCUAACUACGUGCCUG
rnacentral:rRNA from 1 species